rnacentral:rRNA from 1 species
GCCGGCGGUAACACUUCGAAUGCUCUAGUUACCAAUGGAUCACUGAAGUUAACCAAUGUUGCACAUGGUUGUUAUCUGAGAAGGUGACUAUUUGGGCAUUCGCGUGCUGCUGGCU